UUGCCCCUGCGUUGUUGGUGAGGGGUGAGAAAUUUUGACCCAACGCUUUGUCUUUGGGAGCCAUGCCCUGGGAAUGGUGUGCAAGCCCCAUCGUACCGAGGGGAAGCCUAAAGUUUCCAUCACGGCGCCCACCUGGAAAACCGGGUUCAAGACAUUCCGCUCUGCCACGGCAAUCGCGGGGGCUUU
rnacentral:other from 1 species